AAAAACUUAGGUUAACACAAACCAGAGGCCUUCAAAGCCCCAAACGAGGGUUUAAAUCCCCCAGUUUUUA
rnacentral:tRNA from 1 species